rnacentral:rRNA from 1 species
UACAGAGGGGGCAAGCGUUAUUCGGAAUUAUUGGGCGUAAAGGGCGCGUAGGCGGCCAUUCAAGUGACGGGUGAAAGCCCUCGGCUUAACCGAGGAACUGCCUGUCAGACUGGAUGGCUUGAGACCGGGAGAGGUGAGUGGAAUUCCCAGUGUAGCGGUGAAAUGCGUAGAUAUCGGGAGGAACACCUGUGGCGAAAGCGGCUCACUGGACCACAACUGACGCUGAGGCGCGAAAGCUAGGGGAGCAAACAGG